GCCGAAGUGGCGGAACUGGCAGACGCACCAUCUUGAGGGGGUGGCGGGUUUCCCGUGGGGGUUCGAAUCCCCCCUUCGGCA
rfam:Candidatus Schekmanbacteria bacterium GWA2_38_11 gwa2_scaffold_10456, whole genome shotgun sequence.